rnacentral:misc_RNA from 1 species
GAUGAAGAACGCAGCGAAAUGCGAUACGUAAUGUGAAUUGCAGAAUUCAGUGAAUCAUCGAAUCUUUGAACGCAUAUUGCGCUCUCUGGUAUUCCGGAGAGCAUGCUUGUUUGAGUAUCAGUAAACACCUCAACUUCCAUAUCUUUUUUUGAAAUGGGAGUUGGACUUGAGUGAUCCCAACGCUUUUCCUCACCGAAAAGUGGCGGGUUACUUGAAAUGCAGGUGCAGCUGGACUUUUCUCUGAGCUAUAAGCAUAUCUAUUUAGUCUGCCUAAAAAACAGAUUAUUACCUUUGCUGCAGCUAACAUAAAGGAGAUUAGUUCUUGUUCUGACUGAUGCAGGAUUCACAAAGACAGCUUCGGCCGACUUUGUAGACUCGAUCUCAAAUCAAGUAAGACUACCCACUGAACUUAAGCAUAUCAAUAAGCGGAGGA